GCAGUCUAUCUAAAACUCAUAAUACGACGUCGUAAAUGACCACCGGAACCCAUCUCCUCCGCCUACUCGUCUCCUGCCGGAAAAUCACGGCACAGGUGACAACCACCAGCAACGAUACCAUCGUAGCUAUGGCUUCAUCAGCUGAGCAAGAGUUCGCAGCACAGUGUAGAGCCAAGCUCAACCGAGUGCCUAGGUGCCGCAAUCUCUGGGACACGAAGAUGGCCUCUAGAGUCGGAGAUAAGCUCGGAGAUCGGCUCAGUGAAGUCGGAAUCCACAACGUGGAAAUCGAUGUUCAAGAGGAGCUUAAUAGGCCGGUGCACUACCGGCAAAUGGUGGCGCCGCUUUUUGAGUCUGUCAAACGCAAGGGCAUCGCCGUCGUUGGAGCUGACAAAUUGGUUUUCUAGUCAAAUUUUGCAGUUCUUCCACUCUAGCAAGGCUUGCUCCUCUUCAAGCCGUAUUAUUUGACAUUGACGGAACUUUAUGUGAUUCAGAUCCAUUUCACUAUCUUGCAUUCCGUGAGAUGCUUUUGGAGGUUGGCAAAAGAGCAGUUGAAGCCUCAAAAUGGUCUCUACAAGUUGAGAAAGUGGAUCGAAGAUCAUGGUCUGAAACGAGCUGCAGUUACCAAUGCACCUAGAGCUAAUGCUGAACUAUGUAUAAAUCAAGUUGGCCUUGCUGAUUUCUUUGAUGCACUUAUUCUUGGAAGUGAUUGCAAGCAUGCAAAACCAUAUCCUGAUCCAUACUUGAAGGCCCUUGAAGUGUUGAAUGUAUCAAAAGAUCACACAUUUGUAUUUGAGGAUUCUGUCUCAGGAAUAAAAGCUGGGGUGGCUGCUGGAAUGUCUGUCAUUGGUUUGGCGAACCGGAAUCCAUCUCAGUUACUUAUGGAAGCAAAACCUGUUUUUCUUAUUAAAGAUUAUGAAGAUCCAAAGUUAUGGGCAGCUCUUGAGGAGAUUGACAAGAAGUUUGCCACCAGAAAGACUACAACAUGAGGCAUAUACAAUUAAGAGGUGAAAGUUCGACAAAGAACUUACUCACAUUCGAUGUUUACAAUUAAGUGUAUUUUAUUGCAUAGAUAGUGACAAUUUGUACAGCAAAACUGCAUGAUUUUUAAACGGAUGAUGUUGGUUACACCUAAUGUUAUGAUAUUUGCUUUAAA